rnacentral:rRNA from 1 species
UACGUAGGGUGCGAGCGUUAAUCGGAAUUACUGGGCGUAAGCGUGCGCAGGCGGUGAGCUGUGUCCGAUGUGAAAGCCCCGGGCUUAACCUGGGAAUGGCAUGGAACUGGCUCGCUGGAGUGUGGCAGAGGGGGUGGAAUUCCGCGUGUAGCAGUGAAAUUCGUAGAUAAUCGGGAGGAACACCAGUGGCGAAGGCGGCGAUCGUGGGAAGAUACUGACGCUGAGGUGCGAAAGCGUGGGGAGCAAACAGG